rnacentral:rRNA from 1 species
GACGAACGCUGGCGGCGUGCUUAACACAUGCCAGUCGAACGGAAAGGCCCUGCUUUUGUGGGGUGCUCGAGUGGCGAACGGGUGAGUAACACGUGAGUAACCUGCCCUUCACUUUGGGAUAACUUCAGGAAACUGGGGCUAAUACCGGAUAGGAGCUCCUGCUGCAUGGUGGGGGUUGGAUAGUUUCGGCGGUUGGGGAUGGACUGGCGGCUGAUCAGCUUGUUGGUGGGGUAGUGGCUUACCAAGGCUUUGCCGGGUAGCCGGCCUGGGAGGGUGACCGGCCACAUUGGGACUGAGAUACGGCCCAGACUCCUACGGGAGGCAGCAGUGGGGAAUAUUGCACAAUGGGAGGAAGCCUGAUGCAGCACCGCCGCGUGCGGGAUGACGGCCUUCGGGUAGUAAACCGCUUCCGCCUGUGACGAAGCGUGAGUGACGGUAAUGGGAAAAGAAGCACCGGCUAACUACGUG